UGGACUCCUGGACACGGGGAGGCGCGGCUCUGCGUGCCCCCCUGCUCUUCUGGGUUUUAUCUUCGUGGCUGUGGAGCAGUAGGGCCGUUUAGCCUCGCAUGCGAAUUAUCUACUCAUGGAGGAAUGUUAUGACCCUCUUCGCAAGAUUAGGUAGCUGUUACUAAGACACACUUGGGACCAGCGAAUGCAAGUACCUCAUGAGAAUUCUUUGACUAAUAAAGAACCACCUUCUAAAUUCCUCGAGAAAGCUCUCCUUCAGGCAAAACAUUUACGUAUAGCGUUGCUAUAGAAUGUCCGGAAUCCUCAAACAACACUUAACAUCAUUUAGAAAGGGUCGGGCUGCUUAUGACAACCAGAUGAAGUGAUGAGGCGCGUCAUCCUCGAUCGGACGCUGGAUCCAAACAACAGCCGUAAAGGACGUUUGGGGGACCGAGUCGCAACCGGGGAUGCAAACACUGGAUUAAGAGACUGUAUUUGGUGGUGAAAAGCUUUGGUGUGUCAAAGAAGCAUGGGCUUAGAAAGCUCUCUACAGCCUGGUGAGAAAAUAACACAUCUUAAUACGGUUGCAUUCAGUGGAUGAUUGCAGAGAACAGAUUCGGAGGCCUCUCACGGAGCGUUUGCAAUGAGGGUAAAAGUGUAUUUUCACCGCGCUGACCAACUUUUACCCGUGGGAGACAUAUAUAGUAAGAAGUUGCUACAGCCAAUGUCAGGUUACUGCCCAUGUUCUCCAUUUUAGAAAACAUCCUACCCAACAGUGGAACACAUAUACCCGUCCCCACACACACCCGUCAUCAGGAGGAAAAGGCUCGAAAGAUACGCAACAGCACCUGACACCAUCUGAUACACUUCCUUCCGCACUUGUAAGCUGUGAAGCCUUCCUUGAACCAGCAGGUGGACUGUGACAGGGGCGGGGACUGCCUCUGUACACUCAGUUUCACCUGUGACCAAUGGCUGCCACAUGGCUCCUACUAGCUGAGAUGGUAAAGAACACAAUUUAGGAAACUCAGCUGUGGAACAGAUUAGAAAAACCAAGGGGUAUAAAACAUAUACCCUGACUGGCUGGGAUGGCCAAAUAGGAAAGAAUAGCCCAUCGAUAUGGCAAACACCACCGGUGGAUAAUUCUGGGGAGUUAAAAAAAAAAAAAAAAAAAAAAAAAAAAAAAAGGUUGAAGCUCUAGGCACUUCAUAGAAGACACUGGGACUUGAAAAAGGUUCAGCGGCUUGCCUAAAAUGAUGAAGACAGAGACGGGACUAGAACUCCUGUCUCCCAGACUUAUUUCAGUAUUCCUGAGUCACAGGUCUCAGUGCGGCCAGCUGCCUCACCCACAAUGAUCUUGCCAAUCAGCCCGCAGUCCCCAUGCCUUCUUCACUCUAGCGCACAGACCCCACAACAGACUAUGCAUGCUCCGGGGGCACGAACCACAAGGAAAAUGAAUUAGAUGACAUCUACACCUAGCAAAACACAGGAGUACGACAGAUAUUUGGGAAACGAAUGGAUGACAGCACAUGUGUGGCAGUGAAGUCAGCAUAAGACUCUCUGACGGCCCAACAUUAAACCAACUACUGACUAAACCAAUACAUCACAAAAUGGCACUCGACAAGGCACGGAUGAAGAAUCUCCAAAGUAGUAUGUGACAGUGUUCCAGAGGGUCUGCUAUCAGUCCCACCUACAACUAAGACUAUGAGAUGGUGCCCCAUGUUAUGUUCCAGACAGGUACUGAGACCAUCAGCACAAGUCGGUUCAUGCUCAACGCUACGUGAAGGGGAAGGAUGGGGACGGCAGGGAGCUGUUGUGGCAAAGAAAGCAAAGCUGCUUCACCACCACCUCCACCACCACGCAACUCUGGAAGAGAAGAAAAAGGCGGCUUUCAGAGAGUCAGGAACUAAAGCUCCUAGUAGGAACCCCCCCGCCAGGACCAAUCAGGGCAUGAGAUUAAAAACUGAAAGCUUUUACCAAGUGUAUAAUGUAUUUUUGCCAAUGAACAAUUCUAGAAUUCAUCGGAGGGUAAGAGAAAACCAAAUCACUAAUGAAAGAUUAAUAAUCUACAUGCAACUUGCACAAAAAGUGGAAGUUCUGCAAAGCACAGAAUGAUCUGGAGUCACAAUGGAAACUUCGCGGUAUCUAUCGGACCAUGAAUUUUAAAGGUUUGCUUAUUAGGAGCUGUCAUUUAUUCAAGGGACACCACACAAAUCAUUUAGCUUCCAAUACAUACUGUGGAAGCAUGGCAAAGAAAAAUUACUUCGAGGUACGAUCUGGUUGUUCCCAGAUCAUAGUUAAUUUGACAGGUCACUUGAGAGAAGAAAAAAGUUUACUAGACUCCUAUAGCCCGUGUAUUUAUCAUCAGACUAAUGCAAGCAAGAACUCAUCACACAGCGCUGGGAUGUAGCUCUUUCUGCUCCUCACAUUAGCAGAUACGUCUGGCACCAGAGAGGACAAGAAAUGCCAUGCAUUCAUCUCUUGUUGCUCGGAGCAGCAGUUCAUCAAGAGAAGCUGUCAUGUUUAAAGCAGGAUAUUCAGUUUCCUGAGUUGAGCUUGAGUACCUCUAACUCAUUUUAAUUGAAAAACACAUAAAAAAUUAACAGAAGAAAAAUCCUACCCAGAAUAAGAUAACUUGGUGCUUGCUCUUGAAACUGCAGAUUUAAUGAUAUCAUUAAUGAUCACAUGUUGCAACAUUGUCUAAAGGAAUGAACUAGAAGAGUCACUCACUUUGUCAGCAUCUGGGAUUUUGUUUUCUUCUGAGCUUACAGAUACCCAAGACCGCAUCCGUCCCCACCUUCUUUUUGGGAUCCAGCCAUUUCCACCUCAGAAGAUCUCAGGAUAAAGAAUAUACGCUACAUAACUUCAAGAUUCUAAGGCGGACACUGAAGUAUUCAAAAACAAGGCACUCACGAUGUAAAUAUACCCAAAAGGCACUAAGAGAUUGAUACAACAGAUUUUUCUCCAUCUUUCUGCGCAGAAACAUUCUGAACUACGAAGCGGCCUGCAACAAAAAGAAAUUGGCAAUUUUAGAAGUGCACCUAAAGCUCCGUAAAGAAAUCAAAGGCCCGAAAAUACAGCUUGAAAGUAUACUAGUCCUAAAUCUCCCCAAUUUUCUCUACCAACUGAAUUAAGAAUCUUUUUCACUACAAACAUAAAAUAAACUUAGUUCUAUGGCAUACUUCA